rnacentral:rRNA from 1 species
UCGAGAAUAUUCCACAAUGGGCGAAAGCCUGAUGGAGCGACACCGCGUGGAGGAUGAAGGCCUUCGGGUUGUAAACUCCUUUUCUAUCAGAUGAACCUUCGGGUGACCGUAUGAUAGGAAUAAGAAGUUGCUAACUCUGUGCCAGCAGCAGCGGUAAUACAGAGACUUCAAGCGUUAUCCGGAUUUAUUGGGCGUAAAGGGCUCGUAGGAGGUUUUGCGCGUCUUGUGUUAAAUCUCACCGCUCAACGGUGAGGCCGCACGAGAUACGGCAUUACUAGAGGAUGUCAGAGGUAAGCGGAACGCACGGUGUAGGGGUGAAAUCCGUUGAUAUCGUGCGGAACACCAGAGGCGAAGGCGGCUUACUGGGGCAUUCCUGACUCUGAGGAGCGAAAGCGUGGGG